UGGGGAAUAUUGGGCAACGGGCGCAAGCCUGACCCAGCAACGCCGCGUGAGGGAAGAAGGCUUUCGGGUUGUAAACCUCUGUCCUUGGUGACGAAAAAAAUGACGGUAGCCAAGGAGGAAGCCCCGGCUAACUACGUGCCAGCAGCCGCGGUAAUACGUAGGGGGCGAGCGUUGUCCGGAAUUACUGGGCGUAAAGGGUGCGUAGGUGGCCUUUUAAGUUGGACGUGAAAUCCCCGGGCUUAACUUGGGUGGUGCAUCUAAUACUGGAGGGCUAGAGUGCAGGAGAGGGAAGCGGAAUUCCUAGUGUAGCGGUGAAAUGCGUAGAUAUUAGGAGGAACACCAGUGGCGAAGGCGGCUUUCUGGACUGUAACUGACACUGAGGCACGAAAGCGUGGGGAGCAAACA
rnacentral:rRNA from 1 species